rnacentral:rRNA from 1 species
AUUGAACGCUGGCGGCAGGCCUAACACAUGCAAGUCGAGCGGAGCGGCGGACGGGUGAGUAAUGCCUAGGAAUCUGCCUGGUAGUGGGGGAUAACGUCCGGAAACGGGCGCUAAUACCGCAUACUAUCAGAUGAGCCUAGGUCGGAUUAGCUAGUUGGUGGGGUAAAGGCCUACCAAGGCGACGAUCCGUAACUGGUCUGAGAGGAUGAUCAGUCACAAGUGAAGUGAGACACGGUCGAGACGCCUACGGUAGGCAUCAGUGGGGAAUAUUGGACAAUGGGCGAAAGCCUGAUCCAGCCAUGCCGCGUGUGGGAAGAAGGUAUUCGGAUUGUAAAGCACUUUAAGUUGGGAGGCGUUACCAACAGAAUAAUCACCGGCUAACUUCGUGCCAGCAGCAGCGGUAAUUC